rnacentral:rRNA from 1 species
AAUAGAUACCCAGGUAGUCCAUGCCGUAAACGAUGUCUACUAGCCGUUGGGGCCUUUGAGGCUUUAGUGGCGCAGCUAACGCGAUAAGUAGACCGCCUGGGGAGUACGGUCGCAAGACUAAAACUCAAAUGAAUUGACGGGGGGCCCGCACAAGCGGUGGAGCAUGUGGUUUAAUUCGAUGCAACGCGAAGAACCUUACCUGGCCUUGACAUACUAGAAACUUUCCAGAGAUGGAUUGGUGCCUUCGGGAAUCUAGAUACAGGUGCUGCAUGGCUGUCGUCAGCUCGUGUCGUGAGAUGUUGGGUUAAGUCCCGCAACGAGCGCAACCCUUUUCCUUAUUUGCCAGCGAGUAAUGUCGGGAACUUUAAGGAUACUGCCAGUGACAAACGUGGAGGAAGGCGGGGACGACGGUCAAGUCAUCAUGGCCCUUAUGGCCAGGGCUACACACGUGCUCAAUGGUCGGUACAAAGGGUUGCUACCUAGCGAUAGGAUGCUAAUCUCAAAAAGCCGAUCGUAGUCCGGA